AAAGUGUUAGGACACAGUGUCCAUAAAGCCAUGCCAGUAAAGUGUUAGGACACAGUGUCCAUAAAGCCAUGCCAGUAAAGUGUUAGGACACAGUGUCCAUAAAGCCAUGCCAGUAAAGUGUUAGGACACAGUGUCCAUAAAGCCAUGCCAGUAAAGUGUUAGGACACAGUGUCCAUAAAGCCAUGCCAGUAAAGUGUUAGGACACAGUGUCCAUAAAGCCAUGCCAGUAAAGUGUUAGGACACAGUGUCCAUAAAGCCAUGCCAGUAAAGUGUUAGGACACAGUGUCCAUAAAGCCAUGCCAGUAAAGUGUUAGGACACAGUGUCCAUAAAGCCAUGCCAGUAAAGUGUUAGGACACAGUGUCCAUAAAGCCAUGCCAGUAAAGUGUUAGGACAUAGAUAACAUCGCUGUUUGUUUAGCCUCCCCCAGCAGCAGGGUAGGAUGUUCAUGUUGUGAGAAGGGAGUCUACUGAAUGUUUUGCUGUGGUUGCAUGUAACGUUGUCCUCGGGAUGGAAGGGGUUCUGAUGUUCUCCGGGCUGGUUUAGCUCAUGGCUACCACCUUGUGGUCGUACACUGUUACUACAAUGUCAUACAUUCAAGCAGAUUUCAGUCAUUUAGAUUACAUAAUCUGAUCAUAAAACAGGUUUAAACCCCUCUGUAUAUUUGUGAAUGAAGUGAUGCUAGGAUUAGGGUUACUUUAAUGCUCUUGCUACUUACAUUGUUAUUUAAUGAAUCAUUUUAAUUGUAUUUUUAUUUCGCUCUCUCUCGUUUUCCAGUAUCCAUUGCAGGAAGAAGUUCAUGGAAGGCGAAUGGCGUCUGCACCUUCUCAGUGCUGCAACUGGACUUAUUUUGGAUGGAGUGAACAGCAGCAUGAGCAGCAGAGUAUGUACUUUACCUCUCUUUUAUCUGCAGUUGUGCUCCUCUUCAUCCUGUCCUCUGUUUCUUUGGAGUCCUCCUCUUUCCCCUUGUGACCAGUGCAUCUGGUCUGUUUGUCAUAAAGGGCUUUUUCUUCUCUCUUUUUCUCUCCUCUCUCUCUCGCUCUCUGUCUCUCGCUCUGUCUCUUGCUCUGUCUCUCGCUCUCUGUCUCUCGCUCUCUGUCUCUCUCAUCUGCCUGGUCAAAUAACUAGAAGAGAACUACCAGGUGUUUCGUAGAGACCAGGUUCUCUGUAAACCCCUUUUAGUUGGCCACUAGAGUGCG
rnacentral:lncRNA from 13 species